UAGCGGAAGGGGCUCCGGUUACGUUGGAGGGCUGGAGUGGUCUGGAGUUCCACGGCGUAGUUGGCUAGAGACCACCUCUCCUGUGGCCUCUUAGUGUCCCGAGGGUGGCGUUCAGCCCAAGCUGGAUAGAGACAGCCCUUCGUGGAUUUAAACAACCUAAACAUUAAGCAAUACAGCUGCCUCAAAUCUUUGGGAAUUUCAGAAUGACUGACACUGCCGAAGCUGUUCCAAACUUUGAAGAAUGUUUGCUAGUAGAUUCACAAAAGACGACGAGGAAUAUCAGGAAUACUUAAAACGCCCUCCUGAGUCCCCUCCAAUUGUUGAGGAAUGGAAUAGCAGAGCUGGUGGGAACCAAAGAAACAAGCAACUGAUUGCAAGAUAACAGACAGUUCAGAGGCAGGGACAGCAGAUGGAGGUGGCCAAGUGACAAUCGAUCCAAUCAGUGGCAUGGACGAUCCUGGGGUAACAAUUACCCACAACACAGACAAGAACCUUACUAUCCCCACCAAUAUGGACAUUAUGGUUACAACCAGUGGCCUCCUUACGGUUACUACUGAUAGAAACGUUGGCAGCUUUUAGCAAAAGCAUUUACUCUGUUACCAUGACAAAAGUUUGGGUGUCUUCUGUUGGUCAUAGUUAUACAUUUGAUUUUAGAGAAGGGAUUAUUUUUUGGAAGUUGAGAUUUAAAAAAAAAUAGAUCUUACUUGCGGGAUGCUAUGUUUGCUGGUAAUACCUGAAAUUGUGGAUUAUAUUGCUUGACUUCUACCUCAGAGUCUUCCUUGUUUCGCGACGUAAUAGUACUUUGAGUUUGGUAUAUUUUCUUAUUUGACCUCUAGGAGACCUUUGUUUUACACAGAAAUAAAAAUUUUUAAAUAGAAAAUG